GUAUCCUGGCUCAGGAUGAACGCUAGCGACAGGCUUAACACAUGCAAGUCGAGGGGCGAUCAUGAGGUAGCAAUACCUUGAUGGCGACCGGCGCGCGGGUGAGUAACGCGUAUGCAACCUGCCCGAUACCGGGGUAUAGCCCAUGGAAACGUGGAUUAACACCCCAUAGUACUUUUAUCCUGCCUGGGAUGGGAGUUAAAUGUUCAAGGUAUCGGAUGGGCAUGCGUCCUAUUAGUUAGUUGGCGGGG
rnacentral:rRNA from 1 species